rnacentral:rRNA from 1 species
UGGGGAAUAUUGGACAAUGGGCGCAAGCCUGAUCCAGCAAUGCCGCGUGUGUGAAGAAGGCCUUCGGGUUGUAAAGCACUUUUAUCAGGAGCGAAACGCUGUCGGCUAAUACCCGGCGGAACUGACGGUACCUGAGGAAUAAGCACCGGCUAACUUCGUGCCAGCAGCCGCGGUAAUACGAAGGGUGCAAGCGUUAAUCGGAAUUACUGGGCGUAAAGCGUGCGUAGGCGGUUUCUUAAGUCUGCUGUGAAAUCCCCGGGCUCAACCUGGGAAUGGCAGUGGAUACUGGGAGGCUAGAGUGUGUCAGAGGGUGGUGGAAUUCCCGGUGUAGCGGUGAAAUGCGUAGAGAUCGGGAGGAACAUCAGUGGCGAAGGCGGCCACCUGGGACAACACUGACGCUGAGGCACGAAAAGCGUGGGGAGCAAACAGGAUUAGAUACCCUGGUAGUCCACGCCCUAAAACGAUGCGAACUGGAUGUUGGUCUCAACUCGGAGAUCAGUGUCGAAGCUAACGCGUUAAGUUCGCCGCCUGGGGAGUACGGUCGCAAGACUGAAACUC